GGGGGAUAUUGGACAAUGGGGGAAACCCCUGAUGCAGCGACGCCGCGUGGGUGAAGAAGUGCUUCGGUACGUAAAGCCCUAUCAGCAGGGAAGAAGAUGACGGUACCUGAUUAAGAAGCCCCGGCUAACUAC
rnacentral:rRNA from 1 species